GCUGGUGGUCAAUGCAGGGCUGCUACUUAAAGCACACUGGCAUCUGCUGGCCAAAUAUAGGAAAAACUGGGAUUUAUUUACAGGUUAUGUUUUUCUAGAGCCUAAAAAAUAUGUGGAUUCCAUGGAGUAUUUAGUUUUAAUUUGACAAAACAAGCUUUCCCAGGCAGUAAUGUAAAUGUAAACACAUCUCCAUAAAGGGAGAGUUUGACUGAGACUCUUUGCCAAACUGCACCACCUGUCUUUGACAGUCAGAGGCUGAGAGAAGUUAAAACGCUGCUGCAGCCGUCUUCAGAGAGCAAAGCAAAGGCAACAGACAGCAUUUAGUUUGGGGGGAAAGAAGAUAGUAUAAAUACCUUGAACUUUAAAAAAAAUGAGCACUGUGACAGAUGUGAAAUGUGAGACACAAGACUCUGAGCAGAGAAAUGUCAAAGACCCAAAAGAGGAGGAAGAGUGCACAUGUGCAACGGAGAGUUCACACAGGACGAGGAGUACGUGGGACACCCCAUCUCUCCAGGAGCUGGAGGAGCUUUUACACUCGGCUCCACGCUCCUGUCGCCAUGGAGAUGAGGUGUGGCCAAACCUGUACCUGGGAGACAUGUUUAUGUCUCAUGACAAGCUCGGACUCUGGCAGCUGGGCGUCACUCAUGUGCUGAAUGCUGCACACGGAAAACUCUGCUGUAAAGGCAGCGAUGAUUUCUAUGGAACCACAGUAAAAUACUACGGAGUGCCUGCCAAUGACCUGCCGACGUUUGACCUUUCACCUUUCUUCUACCCUGCCGCUGAAUUCAUUCAACAGGCUCUGACAUCAGGAGGAAAGGUGUUGGUGCACUGUGCUGUGGGUGUGAGUCGCUCUGCUGCUCUGGUCCUAGCCUACCUGAUGAUUCAUCAUCACCUCAGUCUUCUGUCCUCUAUACGCUGUGUGCAACAGAAACGCUGGGUUUUCCCCAACAGAGGCUUCCUGCGACAACUUAUUAGCCUAGACAGAAAACUGCAGAGAGAAGGGUUGACUGAGCCAAAAUAAAACAAAGCAAGGAGCAAUCCCAUCUAGUGAAUGCAUAGGAGAAUAGUCCUUGAGUUGCGACAGAGAGAGUUUUUCUCCCCGAGGAGCUUUGGCAUCACUGACCAGAACAAUCAAUGCAACAGC